ensembl:sense_overlapping 4930511M18Rik RIKEN cDNA 4930511M18 gene
GAGAGGAAAAGUCCACCUUCCCAAGCACAGCUUUACCAUCCACCUCAGUAGACUGCUUGUCAGUUUCACUACCAACAGAAAGGGGUUUGAUUAUCAACCUAGCAAACAACUAAGCAAAGAGGCCUUGUAAGUGAAUACAGUCUACAGUGUUCCAGACCUUUGGGCACAAAUAUAGGCAAAGAUUCAUGGUACAGAGGAUGAAGAUCUCUGCCACACCCUUGAACAAGGGACUGUGAGGACCCCUGCUCUUCCAAAAAGCUUCAAGGCCUGAUUCAAACAAUGCAGAGUCUUGGAAUACAUGGAUUAUGGCUGCCUCAGACUUCCCAAGACCCAUGGGCCCCAUGUGGCAAAAAGCCUUGCAGAGCCAGGUGGGGCCACCUGUUUCACUACAGUCCCCUCCACCCAUCUAUCCUCCCAGCUGAGCAGGGAGACUCUGGAUCACGGCAGAAAAACAGCCUCAAUUCUCUCUGACUUCUAAAGAUGUUGGCCAAACUGCAACAGAACUUGGAAGACACUGGAGUCCGGUGAAGCUCCUGGAUGUGUGCAUAUAUAUUAUGCAGUCUUGUGGUCAUCCAUUUUCAUUCAUGUUUUCCAUACUAAAAAGCAAGGCACUUGAAGACAGAAAUUAUGUCAUUCUCAGCUUUGUAUUAGCAACUUCUUGUCAAUAAAGCAAUGAAUG